rnacentral:RNase_P_RNA from 1 species
AAAGUAGACCGCCUUAUCGCUAAUUUUUUAGAGGAAAGUCCGGACACCAUAGAGCGGCAUAGCGGCUAACGGCCGCCGAUUGUGAAAUCAGGACAAGUGCAGCAGAAAGAAUGUACAGGUAAUGCUGUAGUGAAAUCAGGUAAACUCUAUGCGGUGCAAUGUCAUGUAAACCAACGUUCGAGAUUGCUCAGUCGAUGUUGGAGGGUAGGCAGCUUAGAAAUUUUUGGCAACAAAAAUUCUAGAUAAAUGAUAAGGAUUUUCUAAAUUUUAGGAAAAACAGAAUCCGGCUUACAGGUCUACUUUUUUA